rfam:Lichtheimia corymbifera JMRC:FST:9682, FST 9682, WGS project CBTN01000000 data, contig: SCAF00009
AGCUGAUUAGCGCAGAGGAAGCGCGUUGGGCUCAUAACCCAAAGGCCGGUGGAUCGAAACCACCAUCAGCUA